GCAGCAGCCGCGGUAAUACGUAGGGUGCAAGCGUUAAUCGGAAUUACUGGGCGUAAAGCGUGCGCAGGCGGUUAUAUAAGACAGAUGUGAAAUCCCCGGGCUCAACCUGGGAACUGCAUUUGUGACUGUAUAGCUAGAGUACGGCAGAGGGGGAUGGAAUUCCGCGUGUAGCAGUGAAAUGCGUAGAUAUGCGGAGGAACACCGAUGGCGAAGGCAAUCCCCUGGGCCUGUACUGACGCUCAUGCACGAAAGCGUGGGGAGCAAACAGGAUUAGAUACCCGGGUAGUCCCUGUCUCUUAUAC
rnacentral:rRNA from 1 species